rfam:Rhizophagus irregularis DAOM 181602 strain DAOM 197198 GLOINscaffold_606_Cont610 mitochondrial, whole genome shotgun sequence.
AAAGUGGGCUUGGUUUCCAGGCCUAUCCUUUCAUAUUUCAUAAGGAUAACAAUUUGGCUGUAUGCUGGAAUACCCUGAUAAAUGUUAGAUGGUAUUAUCCUUUACCAAUAAUUCUAAUAUAGGGGCAAUCAGCAGGGAAGUUCAAUAUUUUAACCCCUCAACGACCACACGCCAAAACCAAACUACAGGUUACUUAGAAGUCAAUAAGAAAUGCUAUUCAAUCCUAAUUACAUUAGUGGGUUAGUCCAAGCUAAUGGAUCUUUUUUUGUGUCUUCUUAGGUUUUCCUAAGGGAAUUACAUCCUUAACGGAAAACCCGGCAUAGGUAGCCUUCGAGGGACCGGGUUUGAUAAAUACCUGUAAUUUAGUAUGAUAUGGUCUAAACAUGGUUGAAAAAUCAUG